ACCGGCGCACGGGUGAGUAACGCGUAUGCAACCUACCUACUACAGGGGGAUAGCCCGUUGAAAGACGGAUUAAUACCGCAUAAAUCAGGGAUGCCGCAUGGCAAUAUUUGUUAAAGAUUUAUUGGUAGUAGAUGGGCAUGCGUUCCAUUAGCUAGUUGGGGAGGUAACGGCUCACCAAGGCAACGAUGGAUAGGGGAACUGAGAGGUUUAUCCCCCACACUGGUACUGAGACACGGACCAGACUCCUACGGGAGGCAGCAGUGAGGAAUAUUGGUCAAUGGGCGAGAGCCUGAACCAGCCAAGUCGCGUGAAGGAAGACUGCCCUAUGGGUUGUAAACUUCUUUUGUACUAGAGUAAAAAAGGGUAUGUAUACCCACUUGCAAGUAUAGUACGAAUAAGCAUCGGCUAACUCCGUGCCAGCAGCCGCGGUAAUACGGAGGAUGCGAGCGUUAUCCGGAUUUAUUGGGUUUAAAGGGUGCGCAGGCGGGAUUUUAAGUCAGCGGUGAAAUUUUCAGGCUCAACCUGAACACUGCCGUUGAAACUGGGAUUCUUGAGUAUGGAUGAAGUAGGCGGAAUUCGUUGUGUAGCGGUGACAUGCUUAGAUAUAACGAGGAACUCCGAUUGCGUAGGCAGCUUACUAAGCCAUAACUGACGCUCAAGCACGAAAGCGUGGGGAUCAAACAGGAUUAGAUACCCUGGUAGUCCACGCCGUAAACGAUGAUUACUAGUUGUUUGCGAUAUACCGUAAGUGACUAAGCGAAAGCGAUAAGUAAUCCACCUGGGGAGUACGCCGGCAACGGUGAAACUCAAAGGAAUUGACGGGGGCCCGCACAGGCGGAGGAACAUGUGGUUUAAUUCGAUGAU
rnacentral:rRNA from 1 species